GUUUGGGUAGCUUAUGUAGAGCACUACAUUGAAGCUGUAGAGGUACGAUUGUUCUGAACA
rnacentral:tRNA from 1 species